UACGUACUGUGCGAACGUUAUUCGGAAUUACUGGGCUUAAAGGGUGCGUAGGCGGCCAUUUAAGUAGGGUGUGAAAUGCCAGAGCUCAACUUUGGCAUUGCGCUCUAGACUGAAUGGCUUGAGUGAGAUAGGGGUGUGCGGAACUUCCAGUGGAGCGGUGAAAUGUGUUGAUAUUGGAAGGAACGCCGGUGGCGAAAGCGGCACACUGGGUCUUAACUGACGCUGAGGCACGACAGCAUGGGGAGCAAACGGG
rnacentral:rRNA from 1 species